rnacentral:tRNA from 1 species
UCCUCGGUAGCUCAAUGGCAGAGCGGGUGGCUGUUAACCACUAGGUUGGGGGUUCGAGUCCCUCCCGAGGAG